rnacentral:rRNA from 1 species
AUUGAACGCUGGCGGCAUGCCUUACACAUGCAAGUCGAACGGCAGCACGGGUGAUUUCACCUGUUGGCGAGUGGCGGGCGGGUGAGUAAUAAAUCGGAACGUGUCCUGUAGUGGGGGAUAGCCCGGCGAAAGACGGGUUAAUACCGAAUACGAAAUACGGAUGAACGAAGGGGGGGUACGUACGGGCCGCUUGAGGUUGGGCGGGUGGCGAUGGGAUUAGCUAGUGGGUGGGGUAACGGCCUACCGAGGCGACGAUCAGUAGCUGGUCUGAGAGGACGACCAGCCACACUGGGACUGAGACACGGCCCAGACUCCUACGGGAGGCAGCAGUGGGGAAUUUUGGACAAUGGGCGAAAGCCUGAUCCAGCAAUGCCGCGUGUGUGAAGAAGGCCUUCGGGUUGUAAAGCACUUUUGUCCGGAAAGAAAGCCUUGGCUCUAAUACAGUCGGUGGAUGACGUUACCGGAAGAAUAAGCACCGGCUAACUACGUG